rnacentral:rRNA from 1 species
UACGGAGGGUGCAAGCGUUAUCCGGAUUCACUGGGUUUAAAGGGUGCGUAGGAGGGCAGGUAAGUCAGUGGUGAAAUCUUCGAGCUUAACUCGGAAACUGCCGUUGAUACUAUCUGUCUUGAAUACCGUGGAGGUGAGCGGAAUAUGUCAUGUAGCGGUGAAAUGCUUAGAUAUGACAUAGAACACCAAUUGCGAAGGCAGCUCGCUACACGAAUAUUUACUCUGAGGCACGAAAGCGUGGGGAUCAAACAGG